UACAGAGGUCCCGAGCGUUGUUCGGAUUCACUGGGCGUAAAGGGUGCGUAGGUGGCGAGGUAAGUCGGAUGUGAAAGCUCGGAGCUCAACUCCGAAAUGGCAUUGGAAACUACCUUGCUCGAGGGUUGGAGGGGGGACUGGAAUACUUGGUGUAGCAGUGAAAUGCGUAGAGAUCAUGAGGAAGACCAGUGGCGAAGGCGGGUCUCUGGACAGUUCCUGACACUGAGGCACGAAAGCGUGGGGAUCAAACGGG
rnacentral:rRNA from 1 species